AACUUUCGUUCCUCGAUUCUACUAGCUCAUUUUAAAUAUUCAUUGGCUGUGUGUAGCUAGGAGCUUUCAUUUUGUACAUCACCAGAUAAGCAUCCGCACCUGAGCAAAAUGUUCCUUGGACAUCACUGAUGAAAGAUCAGCCAACCAUUUACACAACAAGGAGUACCCAUUAUGAAAACCACCCCUCUGCCUUUACUUCUUUUUGAUUUAAAAAUGUAUUUAUUUGUUCUUUAUGGGAUUUUAAGACUUAGACAAUACAGCCACCGAGAAUCUAGAACGUCAGUAAACUGUAAGGAAGGUGAGAAUCUCAGCAGGCUGGACAUCACCGUUUCCCUUUGAGAAUCACCACCGAGAUCUGGAGAUCUGGAGAUCUCAGAAGAUCACAAGAACUCAUUUGAUGGUGAAUGGUUUAUCUGUCCUAACAUAACCUCGUGAAAGGAAAACUAAAACAGCAAAAGAUCUAUGGCCUUUCUCUCCCUCCCCUGCCCCGCCCCUGUAUUCAUCUGCUACGUAUGGCCAGACAUGAGAAGGGAAGGAAGGCUAUAAGAAAUCUCCCAACAACAGUCAGGGCCUACUUCUUGGGAGCCAGGAGAGCAGGGCGCCACGGUCCAGGCAGCGGGCUGUUACUGACAUUUCUGCUGUACUGCACCUGCUAACCCAGCUCGCCACAGCCAAAGGCUACAGCGAUACUCUUAUCAACGACAUCUGAGCGUGUGCCCUGCACUGGGGGGUUACCGGCCAUGCCAACCAGCGUAUAUGGACGACUGUUUACAUUAGGGCUCUCCCAAAAUGGAGAUCAUUGCCUCCUAAUUCACUCGGCCUACGCCAUCCUAAAGUCUGCACAAAGCACCUAACCUUAUCAGAUGUAAAGCCUGGCCCUCUUGUGUGUCUGCAACCAGAGGGAGCUCCACAUCUAGAAGCAAUGUGCACUGAUGCCGUUCUCCGGCAGCUUGUGCUUCCAGAAUUAACCUCGUGCUGCUGCCAUUCUGAGCCCCGAGGCUGACAGUGGCCCUGGCUGAGGACAUGAAUGAGUCACCAUUUGUUUUUUUAAAUUAGUCCUUAGCUAUUUGCAGAAACAGAGCCUCAAAUAAUUAAAGGAAUCUGAAGGAAGAAAAGAAGUAGUGACUUCUUGCUUUUAUGAUCCAGCCACAGUUCAUCAGCUACCUAAGAGAGAAAACACUUUCAAAUGGGAGUCUCCUUCAGCUCCCUUUAAAUGGAGGCCCAAAGAUCAACAAAUCUGAUAUAAAUCGGAAUGAAUGGGCCGGAUUAGGACAAAAGUAUAUGAUUUUGUAAAACCAUCUGAUCCUUAUCAAACACAAUGUAUACAAACGCUUCCAUUUUACAAUAGGCUUGGUGAGUCAACUCUGAAUUCCCAUCAGAUUUUUCUCCCUCACCGAAUUUGCUUCCUGAAACCCUGCGCAGUCAGUUAGUACUCAGGACAGCGCCCACUGAAUUUGCUUCCUAAAACCCUGCGCAGUCAGUUAGGACUGAGGACAGCAGCGGCAAUGACAUCCAGCCUCCUUUUGUGCCUCAAACUUCCCAGUCCCUUCUUGGAAGGACCCGCCUGCUGAUCUAGCUGUCACUUCAAUUAUACUUCCCAUUUUCAUUUUUUCAAUUACACUUUUUCAUAUACAUUUUAUUUAAAUUAGAAACAAUCUUAGUUUACAUAUCAAUCCCACUUCCCUCUCCCUCCCAUCCUCCCAUGCCCCCCACGGACCCAUAUUUCCAAUCUGAACUAAGAUACAGAAAGCUUGCAGGGUUUUUUUUCCUAGCAAAAAGGAAAAAGUAGGAUAACUGGCACAAACGUAACAUUAAACUCAUCAAGAGAUUAAUAUCACAGGACCAUGAAAUAUACUGACAUCCAGAGAAAGACUGAAGAUUCCAAGGCACAUCCACCGUCAUCAUCAACCUCACCUGCUCCCUGCAGACUGUGCAAAGGCCACGCUCUGCCUUAGGAAAUUCUCAGCUUAUUACCUAUAUUACAAGCCAUCUCCUUUUAAAACUUAUUUAAUUGUAUUUCAUAUGCCUGUGAUGGGGGAAGUCCUUCUGUGCGUAUGUUUGUCUGACUGGUAUAAAUAAAGCACUGUUGGCCAAUAGGGAAGCAAGAUAGGUGGGACUAGGAGUCUAAGAAGAUUCUGGGAAAUGUAGUGAAGAGAGUUGUUGCCAUGUGAUCUCUCAGGAGGAAAGGACGAGUCAGAAGAGAGUCCUCGGAAAGAUAAGAAUAUAUAUUAGUAAUUAUGGGUCAAUAAUUAAG